rnacentral:rRNA from 1 species
UUUAAUACUAAUAAGGAGUUGGGCCUGCUCGGUGAUUAAAUUAAACAGCUGCGGUAUUAUAACUGUACUAAGGUAGCAUAAUAAUUUGCCUUAUAAAUUGAGGCUAGAAUGAAUGGUUUGACGAAAAUUAAUCUGUCUCUAUUUUAAUUAUUAGAAAUUGAUAUUUAAAGUGAUAAAGCUUAAAUUAUUUAAAGGGACGAGAAGACCCUAUUGAGCUUAAUGUUAAAUUAUAAAUAAUUUAAUGAUCUUAUUAUGUUUUACAUUAUUUAUAAAAUUUAAAUUUUGAUUGGGGUGAUCAAGGAAUAAAAGUAGUGUAGUGUUUAUAACUUCCUUAUAGGAUUUAUGAGUUAUUAAUGGUAUAAUAAACCAAAUAUUUUGCUUAUAAGUAAGUUACCAUAGGGAUAACAGCGUAAUUUUUUUAGAGAGUUCAUAUUAAAAAAGAAGAUUGCGACCUCGAUGUUGGAUUAAAAUUACCUUUUGGUGUAGAGGCUUUAAUAGGUAAAUCUGUUCGAUUUUUAAAA